GGGGGCAUAGCUCUGUGGUAAAGCAUUUGACUGCAGAUCAAGAGGUCCCUGGUUCAAAUCCAGGUGCCCCCG
rnacentral:tRNA from 2 species